AGAUCUCAAAUUAACAGCCCAUUAUUAUGGAAGUUCUUUAUUGAUCGCCAAAAUGGGUUAGGUAUACCUGUUAUUUACAGAAAAAUAGUGACGAUACUAUGAACAAGAACCUGAGACCUGCCGAACAGCAGGUGCCAAAGAUGCUGCUGUAACACCAUAGCCCUCCCAUCUUCCAUCCUCCACUGGCGCUGAGUGGCAGCCCCAUGUGACAGGAAGUGGAGGCAGAGCUGGGCCAGCCCAGGAGCCACGUGCUGGAGCCAGGUGAGGAGACUGAAUGAGCUGGGACAUGACCCUUUUUCCAAAGCAUGGAGACGGUGGGAAUGAAUAAACUGUAAGACAUAUGAGCUGUGAACCUUCUGGGACCCAGACCUACUCCAUAAGCCAGAGUUGUGAUAUGCUGUAACCAUAUAUUUGUACUACACAAAUUUGUUGCUCUAAAUUGUGCUUCAUGUUUUUACUUUGUUUUUACACAUAUUUUGAGAUAAUUUCAUCCUUAAUAUUUUUAAAUGUUGCAUAUAUUAGAAUAUUCUGACUUCAUACUUGAAGGUCCUGUGACAAUGUCUAAAAUUCUUGGCACACUAAACUCUUUCCUAUUGAAAACAUUUAUCUUCUUUUGCAACCUGUUGUCAAAAAGAUUGCUAAAGAGGAAGCUUUGAAACUAUCUCAUUUUUUGUACUUUAUUACUUGUUCAGAGAAUAUUAAAUUUUUACUUUACCUUGUGAAUGUAACUAAAUGUAGAUCAAUUUUCACUAACAUUGCUUGCAACUCACUCAGUCCUUUUAGCUCAGGGAAAAUCCAUUCUAAUAUAACUUCUGACCACUUCUUUUUCAUUUAAUCUAAUCACUUAAAGGAGCAGAUGGACAGUAGAAUUUUCUUAUAUAUGAACACUUUUCUGAUUUGUUUCAAUCCCAAAUCUCUGAGUCACAAGGCAGACAGACACACAGGAGAGAUCAGGGUAAAUGUAUUUCUCUUUAAAGACUCAGAGAUUCAAAAUGAUGUGUUGAAUUUGGGACAGGUCAAUCUUAGUCUAGCUCUAUAUUUUUUGUCAGGUGAAGUGUCUUCAAAAUUUUUGUCUUCAGUAGUCCCUCAGCUUUCUAUUCUAUUUUAUUAUACAUCUUCUUAGGGAGGUUUUCACUAUUUUGUUUUUUCCAUUUGUUUUAAUUUUGCAAUGUUGACUGAGGAUGUCUUUUAAAAUGAUAUUUGAGUAUGUUGUCCAAGUACCUUUUUAAAGCAAAACCUAUGCAUUUUUUUUCCACAAAAGGCAAAUUUGGGUUAACAGGCAGAAUAUGGUAUUCAGAGAAUUUGUGACAAAGUAUAGGCACAGGCAAGUGGUUAAAUGUCAGGGACUUUCCAAGAGGGAUAUCAGAAAAUCACCGAUAGUCAGGUCAUUGGAGCAUGACAAUGAACAAUUUAGGAGCUGUCACUGUUCAGAGAUCCACAGAAGUAAGCUAAAAAAUAACUGCAUGAAGUAACAGGGUGACAUAUUAGGGGACUAAUUGCAGUCUCUGAACUGGUGAGAGAAAAGGGACUGACCAGAAAGAAAGCAGGAGUUCAGGGUGAGGAACUUAAGUGGGAACCUUUGCCCAGGGGACCAGGACCGAUCUGCGAUUACAGACAUGUACCUUCGAACAAAGCAGAAGCAUAAUUUCUUGAUUUGGCCUGUAUGGUCACAGCCAGAUUGGUAGCAAUGACAACUUGUUGCUGACCAUCUGGCCAUGAAUUAAAUCCCUGCUGGCAAGGGAGAAUUUUGGGUCUAGAAAGUACAGCAGGGUUAAGCUUAAUGUCAAAAAGUCUGGCAAACGAAUGGUAGCCAGCUUCUGAUGCUGUGAACAACUGGCCCAUUUCAUAAUGUAUUCAUACUACUUUUUUUUUCAGUAGUCUUUAAUUAUAUACUUUAAUUAGGAACAUUAGAGCUUUCUAGCAAUAGGUACUUCUCUUAUUAUUAAGAAUAGCAUAUCGUAUACAGGAUAUUCUUUGUUCCUUGGUAAACAUUGCUUAUGUUGUCUACAUGUCAAAAUGUUUAUCUCAGCCAUUUCGAAUGGUGGGGCACAUUAUUUAAAAUCAAGAAAUACCAAGUAUCUUUAAACUUGAGAUAUUUCCCUGUUAUGCACAUUUUAAAUUUAAAAUGUUCCAUUCAAAUGUAAAAAGAAAUGUGUCAAAAUUUGGUAAUUGGUAUUUUCAAUAAAUGCCAUAAUUUUCUAUUCUUUUAGAGAUCCUGUUAUUAAAUUAGUCCAUCAAAGCAUAUUUAUGACUUAUUUAUAUUGUCUAUUCUCAAAUUGACACAGAUGCAGACUUGAACCCUUUCUCAUACAACAUUACUUUCUGGACAUAUUUGAUAAAUGAUUUUAUAAAUAAAAAUUUUAAAGUGUCCACUAAAUUUUUAGUAAUCUAGGAUGGAAACCAGAAUAUUCUAUGGGUGGGGUUAGUGAUUAGAAUAUUACUUUUACUUCUACUCCUUAAAGCUCCUAUUCUGAAUAAGAUGCUGCUUGUCACUUUCCAUUUUUGUAUCAGCCUGUUGACUUUACAAUCUGAAAGCUCUUGAUCUUUAAUGAUCUGUAGCACAUCUGUAUGCAUAAUACUGUCUUCCAAACUCCUC